GCGGAGGAAAAGAAACCAACAGGGAUUGCCCUAGUAACGGCGAGUGAAGCGGCAACAGCUCAAAUUUGAAAUCUGGCUCUCGGGCCCGAGUUGUAAUUUGUAGAGGGUGCUUUGGCGUUGGCUGUGGUCUAAGUUCCUUGGAACAGGACGUCGCAGAGGGUGAGAAUCCCGUAUGUGGCCGCCAGUCUUCGCCGUGUAAAGCCCCUUCGACGAGUCGAGUUGUUUGGGAAUGCAGCUCUAAAUGGGAGGUAAAUUUCUUCUAAAGCUAAAUAUUGGCCAGAGACCGAUAGCGCACAAGUAGAGUGAUCGAAAGAUGAAAAGCACUUUGGAAAGAGAGUCAAAAAGCACGUGAAAUUGUUGAAAGGGAAGCGCUUGCAGCCAGACUUGCUUGUUAAAACUUGCAGGCCAGCAUCAGUCCGGGCGGUUGGAUAAAGGCCUAUUAAACGUACCUCUCCUCGGGGAGGACUUAUAGGGUAGGUGACAUGCAACCAGCCUGGAUUGAGGUCCGCGCAUCUGCUAGGAUGCUGGCGUAAUGGCUGUAAGCGGCCCGUCUUGAAACACGGACCAAGGAGUCUAACAUCUAUGCGAGUGUUUGGGUGUCAAGCCCGAACGCGUAAUGAAAGUGAACGGAGGUGGGAACCUUUCGGGGUGCACCAUCGACCGAUCCUGAUGUCUUCGGAUGGAUUUGAGUAAGAGCAUAGCUGUUGGGACCCGAAAGAUGGUGAACUAUGCCUGAAUAGGGUGAAGCCAGAGGAAACUCUGGUGGAGGCUCGCAGCGGUUCUGACGUGCAAAUCGAUCGUCAAAUUUGGGCAUAGGGGCGAAAGACUAAUCGAACUAUCUAGUAGCUG
rnacentral:sRNA from 1 species